rnacentral:rRNA from 1 species
GCUAAUACAUGCUAAAACCCCGACUUCGGGAGGGGUGUAUUUAUUAGAUAAAAAACCAAUGCCUUCGGGGCUCUUUGUGAUUCAUGAUAACUUAACGGAUCGCAUGGCCUUGUGCCGGCGACGGUUCAUUCAAAUUUCUGCCCUAUUACCUUUCGAUGGUAAGAUAGAGGCUUACCAUGGGUUCAAUGGGUAACGGGGAAUUAGGUACGUUUGAACACCCCUUCCAUCACCAUUACAGCAGAUUGCUAACUUCACUUUUAGGGUUCGAUUCCGGAGAGGGAGCCUGAGAAACGGCUACCACAUCCAAGGAAGGCAGCAGGCGCGCAAAUUACCCAAUCCCGAUACGGGGAGGUAGUGACAAUAAAUACUGAUACAGGGCUCUUUAGGGUCUUGUAAUCGGAAUGAGUACAAUUUAAACCCCUUAACGAGGAACAAUUGGAGGGCAAGUCUGGUGCCAGCAGCCGCGGUAAUUCCAGCUCCAAUAGCGUAUAUUAAAGUUGUUGCAGUUAAAAAGCUCGUAGUUGAACCUUGGGCCUGACCGGUUGGUCCGCCUCACCGCGUGUACUAAUCCGGUCGGGCCUUUCCUUCUGGAGAACCUCAUGCCCUUCACUGGGUGUGUUGGGGAACCAGGACUUUUACUUUGAAAAAAUUAGAGUGUUCAAAGCAGGCCUUUGCUCGAAUACAUUAGCAUGGAAUAAUAGAAUAGGACGUGCGGUCCUAUUUUGUUGGUUUCUAGGACCGCCGUAAUGAUUAAUAGGGAUAGUCGGGGGCAUCCGUAUUCAAUUGUCAGAGGUGAAAUUCUUGGAUUUAUUGAAGACGAACUACUGCGAAAGCAUUUGCCAAGGAUGUUUUCAUUAAUCAGUGAACGAAAGUUAGGGGAUCGAAGACGAUCAGAUACCGUCGUAGUCUUAACCGUAAACUAUGCCGACUAGGGAUCGGGCGGUGUUUCUAUCUUGACCCGCUCGGCACCUUACGAGAAAUCAAAGUUUUGGGUCUGGGAG